UUAGCACUGAUAUACUGUAGCUUGUCAUGAUGUACUGUAGCUUGUCAUUAUGUACCAUAGCUUGUCAUGGUGUACUAUAACUUGCCGUACUAUCGCUUGUCAUGAUGUAAUAUAGUUUGACGUGAUUUACUGUAGGUAGUCAUGAUGUACUGUAGCUUAUCAUGGUGUGCCAUAGCUUGAAGGACUGUAGCUUGUCAUGAUGUAUUAUAUCUUGUCAUGAUGUACUGUAGCUUGCCAUGGUGUACAAUAGCUUGUCGCACCAUAGCUUGUCAUGAUGUAUAAUAGCUUGUCAUGAUGUACUGUAGCUUGCCAUGGUGUACAAUAGCUUGUCGCACCAUAGCUUGUUAUGAUGUUCUAUAAAUUGAUGUAAUAUACUGAUGCACUGUAGCUUGUUAUGAAUUACUUGUAUUACAUGCAUCAGCCUACUAUGAUGUACUACAGCUCGUCUUGAUAAACUACAGCUUGUCAUGAUGCACCAUUGCUUACCGUGCUUAGCUUGUCAUGAUGUACCAUUGCUUAUCGUGCUUAGCUUGUUAUUAUGCACUUAUGCCUUUCGUAAUGUAUCUAUAAAUUAUUAAGAUGUACUACUUUUUGUCAUGAUGUACUAGAGCUUGUCAUGAUAUACUAUAGCUUGUCGUACUACAGCUUGUAAUGAUGUAAUACAGUUUGAUUCUGGUUUUCAGGUUGUCAUGUGCACUGUAGCUUGUAAUGAUUAACACCUGUACUGCAUCUCGUGUAGAUGUAUUUCAGCCGUAUCAUGAUGCACAACAGGUUUUCAUGAUCUAAUACAAUUUGUCAUCAUGUAGUAUAGCUAGUUGUAAUGUACUACAGCUUGGGGGUACGGCUCGGCGGCCAUCAUCACCAUCAGUCUACUGGGCCUCCUGAGUGUGUCCAUCAUCCCCUGUCUACAGAGGGUGUUCCUUAACACCGUCCUCCAGUUCUUGGUCGCCCUGGCUGUGGGGGCUCUGUCCGGGGACGCCAUGCUUCACUUAAUACCACACGUAAGUCCAAGAAUUCUGAUGCCAAGUCGUAAAAGGUUACCUGUCGUAUUUGAUUUUUAACUACGAAGCACCAAGAAUAGAAUUAACUUUUAUAACUUAAAACAUUUAAUUCUGAAAUCGGUUAGCAGGGAUGCACAUAGGUGUAGUCGUAAUGAUGUGAUCUGCUUAAAACACACGGAUAUAUAGAAUGAUAUUGAUAUGCAUCUUCGCUAGCCAAGGGUUUUCCUUUGGGUUGAUGGGGAGCAAAGUGGACCGAAAACCCUUGGCUAGCGAAGGUGAUUGAUAAGAGAAUCUCCAAAUAAGCCCACCAAUUCUAUUUCAUAAAGAGAAAUGUUGCUGACGAACCGCAAACUUUUACUCUAUAUUUUCUUACACCAUUGAUUGAUAAUCUAUCAUAAAUGAACGAUAUUUUCAACCACGGAGUGUGUAACACUUGUUUCCUCUAUUGGUUGGUCAAGGUUUUUGCCGCUAAAAAGGAAGGCGCUACUGAAGACAAUGAAAACGUUUACAAAGGGUUAUGUGCGUUGGCGGGCAUCUAUAGCUUCUUUAUAUUUGGUCGAGUACAAGGCAUCUACAUGAAUAGGAAGAUAAAGGAAGAAACGAAGGGCGGAAACCUAAUGGACAUUACCAUGAGGAUAGAACCAAAGGAAGCGGAGGAGCCGGAAAUUGUGGCGCUAAAUGCGGUAAAUGAAAAAACCGACGAGCACUGUCCAAAAACGAGUCACGAGUACGAGCAGCCAAAAGACACGCCCUCCACUCACGAGCACCCUAGCGGACACGGGCACUCCCAUGACCAUCCUGUCCCCCAAGCUCUCGGGGCGCUGGUGUGGCGGGUUGUCAUUGGUGAUGGUAUCCACAACUUUAGUGACGGUAUAGCGGUGGGCGUGGCGUUUGCUAACAGUGUGACGGGAGGCCUUAGUACCUCAGUCGCCGUGCUCUGCCACGAACUGCCGCACGAAAUGGGUUUGUGGUUUUACAGUGCAGUUAAUUUUUCGUAUUAAGAUCAAUAAUUUUGUUGAUUGUUUAAGGCAAAUCAGUUAAGUUGUAGAAUGAUUCAUGUAGCCUUACGUUUGUGUACUUGUACUCUUAGAUACUUACCUUUAACCCCCCCCCCCCAAAAAAAAUUAUCGAAGGAUUUGUGACAACCAAAUUACUAGGAGACAGUUUAUCAAACAAGCGUGUAUUGAAAAAUGCUUUCAAAGAAAACUCGAAGAAUAUCUCAUUUAUAAUUCUAAAUUUCUUUUCUUAAAUCAAAAGGUGACUUCGCCGUUCUGCUGAAAAACGGGAUGACCAUCCGGCAGGCUAUUCUGUGUAACUGUGUGUCCUCGGUUUUGUCUUUUGUCGGUAUGGCGGUGGGGCUGGCUAUCGGAAACAUCGGACAGUCAAGCUUAUGGAUAUUUGCCGGGAUUGCGGGAAUGUUUCUAUACAUUUCCCUUGUGGAUUUAAUACCCGAAAUGAGUUUGCUUGAAUCGGGGAAACGUGAGAGGAGGCCGUUCUGUCAGCUCCUGUUUCAGUUAGGAGGCACGUGUUUGGGGGUUGGAAUUAUGCUGUUAAUAGCUCUGUAUGAAGACCAACUGAACUCAGUGUUUGACUGAUGAUAAAAAGUACGGUAACUAGUGUUGUAAUACUGUUGUAAAAUUGGAGCAUUGUAUCUUUUGAAUUCAUGUAAAAUACAUACACAUACACACAUUCCAGAGAGAGAGAGAGAGAGAGAGAGAGAGAGAGAGAGAGAGAGAGAGAGAGGGAGACAGAGAGAGGGAGAGAGAGAGAGAGAGAGAUUAUAUGCCACAUCUUACAUUCUGGUUAUUUAGUAAGAGUUUAAGUUAACAUUUUCAUUACUUUAGUACAGGUUAUAUACAGAAAUAUGAUAUGUUCAUACAUUUUGCCUUUUUAAUUAUGCUUUUUAAAAGUUUAUUAAAUAUGUUUGAC
rnacentral:misc_RNA from 1 species